UGAGGAAGAUAAUGACGGUACUCAACAAGGAAGUGACGGCUAACUACGUGCCAGCAGCCGCGGUAAAACGUAGGUCACAAGCGUUGUCCGGAAUUACUGGGUGUAAAGGGAGCGCAGGCGGGARAACAAGUUGGAAGUGAAAUCCAUGGGCUCAACCCAUGAACUGCUUUCAAAACUGUUUUUCUUGAGUAGUGCAGAGGUAGGCGGAAUUCCCGGUGUAGCGGUGGAAUGCGUAGAUAUCGGGAGGAACACCAGUGGCGAAGGCGGCCUACUGGGCACCAACUGACGCUGAGGCUCGAAAGUGUGGGUAGCAAACAGGAUUAGAUACCCUGGUAGUCCACACCGUAAACGAUGAUUACUAGGUGUUGGAGGAUUGACCCCUUCAGUGCCGCAGUUAACACAAUAAGUAAUCCACCUGGGGAGUACGACCGCAAGGUUGAAACUCAAAGGAAUUGACGGGGGCCCGCACAAGCAGUGGAGUAUGUGGUUUAAUUCGACGCAACGCGAAGAACCUUACCAAGUCUUGACAUCCCUUGACGAACAUAGAAAUAUGUUUUCUCUUCGGAGCAAGGAGACAGGUGGUGCAUGGUUGUCGUCAGCUCGUGUCGUGAGAUGUUGGGUUAAGUCCCGCAACGAGCGCAACCCUUAUGGUCAGUUACUACGCAAGAGGACUCUGGCCGGA
rnacentral:rRNA from 1 species